AUAGUGGCGCACGGGUGCGUAACGCGUAACCAACCUACCCUUGACUGGGGGAUAGCCCGCCGAAAGGCGGAUUAAUACCGCAUAAAACAACAGCACGGCAUCGUGUCAUUGUUAAAGAUUUAUUGGUCAAGGAUGGGGUUGCGUGCCAUUAGCUAGUUGGGGGGGUAACGGCCCACCAAGGCGACGAUGGCUAGGGGAGCUGAGAGGCUGGUCCCCCACACGGGCACUGAGAUACGGGCCCG
rnacentral:rRNA from 1 species